CGGAAUAAGGGCAUGGAAAGGAGAGAACAAGGAUGAAAUGGCAUGGAGGAGGAAAGGGGUGGAAGGUUGUUAGCGCACAAAACACACGUGUUCUAUUUUUCAUGCCAAAAUAAAACCCCUUUUAUAAUUUUUGUCGCACAAAAUUUCCUUUCGUUCCAUGCCAAUAUCUGAGAAGAUCUAAUUUGAAUCAAAUUCAAAUCAUUACUUAUCAAGAAGAGUCCCAACAAACAAGGAGAAGUGCAAACAUGAGAAAACCAUCACCCCUCCUCUUUUUGGUCGGCCAAUUGGAGAGAGAAGCCUAGA
rnacentral:lncRNA from 1 species